rnacentral:rRNA from 1 species
CAGUCGCCGCGGUAAUCCGUAGGUGGCAAGCGUUGUCCGGAAUUAUUGGGCGUAAAGGGCUCGCAGGCGGUUUCUUAAGUCUGAUGUGAAAGCCCCCGGCUCAACCGGGGAGGGUCAUUGGAAACUGGGAAACUUGAGUGCAGAAGAGGAGAGUGGAAUUCCACGUGUAGCGGUGAAAUGCGUAGAGAUGUGGAGGAACACCAGUGGCGAAGGCGACUCUCUGGUCUGUAACUGACGCUGAGGAGCGAAAGCGUGGGGAGCGAACAGGAUUAGAGACCCCAGUAGUCCCUGUCUCUUAUAC